CAGGAGGUCACUUGUCCACGGGAGGUGGCCUUGUGUGAGUGGAACUGUGUCCCUGGUUCCCGUCUCUCGCUCUUGGGUGUGGCCUUCCUGGCAGACAGGACCUUUCCGAAGGCAAGUGGGUUAAAGUUUAGUCAUGGGGUGAGCUCUGGUCCAGCAUGACUGAGGUCCUGAAGGAAAGGGACAUGUGGACACAGACAUGCACUGAGAGGAACGCUGUGGGGACGUGAGGACCCUUCCCAGCCCUGCGGGCACCUUGAUCUCAGGCUUGCAGCCUCUGGGGCUGUGAGAGGACAAGGCCUGUGGCCUACGCUGCUGUGCAGACUCCCAUCUGGAUAGCCAGACCAUCUCCUCCAGGGUCCGGAGGAAGCCCCGAGCCACACCAGACCCCCAGAUGCUUCUGCGGCAGAGGGAAGUCCCUAAGAAGCUUGUCACCCGGUGAAGGCCUGGUCCAUCCUUGGCCACGAGCCAGAGGCUCUGCCCAGGACCCUCUUUCUGGUCCCAGCUGGCACGGAGGAGGAGAGCAACCACAGCUGACACUCCCACAAAACCCUGUGUCUCCAGAGAAAAGUACAUCUUCACAAAUGCAGCUGGAUCCACGCUGGAACAGAGGCCACUCGCCCAGAUCCAUCAGCCACGGAUGGCCUCGCCCUGAGAGUCUCCGCCCA
rnacentral:lncRNA from 10 species